GGGUUGUGAGGUUAAGCGACUAAGCGUACACGGUGGAUGCCCUGGCAGUCAGAGGCGAUGAAGGACGUGCUAAUCUGCGAUAAGCGUCGGUAAGGUGAUAUGAACCGUUAUAACCGGCGAUUUCCGAAUGGGGAAACCCAGUGUGAUUCGUCACACUAUCAUUAACUGAAUCCAUAGGUUAAUGAGGCGAACCGGGGGAACUGAAACAUCUAAGUACCCCGAGGAAAAGAAAUCAACCGAGAUUCCCCCAGUAGCGGCGAGCGAACGGGGAGCAGCCCAGAGCCUGAAUCAGUGUGUGUGUUAGUGGAAGCGUCUGGAAAGGCGCGCGAUACAGGGUGACAGCCCCGUACACAAAAAUGCACAUACUGUGAGCUCGAUGAGUAGGGCGGGACACGUGGUAUCCUGUCUGAAUAUGGGGGGACCAUCCUCCAAGGCUAAAUACUCCUGACUGACCGAUAGUGAACCAGUACCGUGAGGGAAAGGCGAAAAGAACCCCGGCGAGGGGAGUGAAAAAGAACCUGAAACCGUGUACGUACAAGCAGUGGGAGCACGCUUAGGCGUGUGACUGCGUACCUUUUGUAUAAUGGGUCAGCGACUUAUAUUCUGUAGCAAGGUUAACCGAAUAGGGGAGCCGAAGGGAAACCGAGUCUUAACUGGGCGUUAAGUUGCAGGGUAUAGACCCGAAACCCGGUGAUCUAGCCAUGGGCAGGUUGAAGGUUGGGUAACACUAACUGGAGGACCGAACCGACUAAUGUUGAAAAAUUAGCGGAUGACUUGUGGCUGGGGGUGAAAGGCCAAUCAAACCGGGAGAUAGCUGGUUCUCCCCGAAAGCUAUUUAGGUAGCGCCUCGUGAAUUCAUCUCCGGGGGUAGAGCACUGUUUCGGCAAGGGGGUCAUCCCGACUUACCAACCCGAUGCAAACUGCGAAUACCGGAGAAUGUUAUCACGGGAGACACACGGCGGGUGCUAACGUCCGUCGUGAAGAGGGAAACAACCCAGACCGCCAGCUAAGGUCCCAAAGUCAUGGUUAAGUGGGAAACGAUGUGGGAAGGCCCAGACAGCCAGGAUGUUGGCUUAGAAGCAGCCAUCAUUUAAAGAAAGCGUAAUAGCUCACUGGUCGAGUCGGCCUGCGCGGAAGAUGUAACGGGGCUAAACCAUGCACCGAAGCUGCGGCAGCGACACUGUGUGUUGUUGGGUAGGGGAGCGUUCUGUAAGCCUGCGAAGGUGUGCUGUGAGGCAUGCUGGAGGUAUCAGAAGUGCGAAUGCUGACAUAAGUAACGAUAAAGCGGGUGAAAAGCCCGCUCGCCGGAAGACCAAGGGUUCCUGUCCAACGUUAAUCGGGGCAGGGUGAGUCGACCCCUAAGGCGAGGCCGAAAGGCGUAGUCGAUGGGAAACAGGUUAAUAUUCCUGUACUUGGUGUUACUGCGAAGGGGGGACGGAGAAGGCUAUGUUGGCCGGGCGACGGUUGUCCCGGUUUAAGCGUGUAGGCUGGUUUUCCAGGCAAAUCCGGAAAAUCAAGGCUGAGGCGUGAUGACGAGGCACUACGGUGCUGAAGCAACAAAUGCCCUGCUUCCAGGAAAAGCCUCUAAGCAUCAGGUAACAUCAAAUCGUACCCCAAACCGACACAGGUGGUCAGGUAGAGAAUACCAAGGCGCUUGAGAGAACUCGGGUGAAGGAACUAGGCAAAAUGGUGCCGUAACUUCGGGAGAAGGCACGCUGAUAUGUAGGUGAAGUCCCUCGCGGAUGGAGCUGAAAUCAGUCGAAGAUACCAGCUGGCUGCAACUGUUUAUUAAAAACACAGCACUGUGCAAACACGAAAGUGGACGUAUACGGUGUGACGCCUGCCCGGUGCCGGAAGGUUAAUUGAUGGGGUCAGCGCAAGCGAAGCUCUUGAUCGAAGCCCCGGUAAACGGCGGCCGUAACUAUAACGGUCCUAAGGUAGCGAAAUUCCUUGUCGGGUAAGUUCCGACCUGCACGAAUGGCGUAAUGAUGGCCAGGCUGUCUCCACCCGAGACUCAGUGAAAUUGAACUCGCUGUGAAGAUGCAGUGUACCCGCGGCAAGACGGAAAGACCCCGUGAACCUUUACUAUAGCUUGACACUGAACAUUGAGCCUUGAUGUGUAGGAUAGGUGGGAGGCUUUGAAGUGUGGACGCCAGUCUGCAUGGAGCCGACCUUGAAAUACCACCCUUUAAUGUUUGAUGUUCUAACGUUGACCCGUAAUCCGGGUUGCGGACAGUGUCUGGUGGGUAGUUUGACUGGGGCGGUCUCCUCCUAAAGAGUAACGGAGGAGCACGAAGGUUGGCUAAUCCUGGUCGGACAUCAGGAGGUUAGUGCAAUGGCAUAAGCCAGCUUGACUGCGAGCGUGACGGCGCGAGCAGGUGCGAAAGCAGGUCAUAGUGAUCCGGUGGUUCUGAAUGGAAGGGCCAUCGCUCAACGGAUAAAAGGUACUCCGGGGAUAACAGGCUGAUACCGCCCAAGAGUUCAUAUCGACGGCGGUGUUUGGCACCUCGAUGUCGGCUCAUCACAUCCUGGGGCUGAAGUAGGUCCCAAGGGUAUGGCUGUUCGCCAUUUAAAGUGGUACGCGAGCUGGGUUUAGAACGUCGUGAGACAGUUCGGUCCCUAUCUGCCGUGGGCGCUGGAGAACUGAGGGGGGCUGCUCCUAGUACGAGAGGACCGGAGUGGACGCAUCACUGGUGUUCGGGUUGUCAUGCCAAUGGCACUGCCCGGUAGCUAAAUGCGGAAGAGAUAAGUGCUGAAAGCAUCUAAGCACGAAACUUGCCCCGAGAUGAGUUCUCCCUGACUCCUUGAGAGUCCUGAAGGAACGUUGAAGACGACGACGUUGAUAGGCCGGGUGUGUAAGCGCAGCGAUGCGUUGAGCUAACCGGUACUAAUGAACCGUGAGGCUUAACCUUACAACGCCGAAGCUGUU
rnacentral:rRNA from 2 species